rnacentral:lncRNA from 1 species
GGCAGCCUUCGCCCACUCUGUGCCCUUCCCAGCCGGGGCCUGCCCAGCGGGUCUGCUCCUCCGCGCGUUCUUGGGGAGUCUCAGGGACCCCGCCCUACUCACCCCUCCUGCCCGAGACUCGCUCUAGUUGGGGAUGGAGGCGCCCACGUGUUGGUGGAUGCGUGCGUCGGGGUCGCAGGGAGGUUUUGUCAAGCCCGGAGCGUCCUCACCGGCUGGACAGGAGGCCUCCUGCAGGUGUGGGACACACUUGACAGCCUUCAGCAAACUUCCGGUUUGGUACAAUCGGCCAACGUUUGCUUCAACUGCCCUCCUCUGGACGCUGCUCCUCCUGGGGUGUGGCAUGGGACAGGAAAGCUGCCCCACAGACGUGGCCUGACCAGCACGGGACAGACUGAUGGCUCCUACAUUCUCCCCUGUGGAUCCCUUAUGUCUGGGUUCAAAUCUGGGCUCUGCUUCUUGGUGUGACUUUGGGCAAGUUACCCAGCCCAUCCAAGCUGCAUUUGCCUCCUUAGUGAAAUGGGGCUAAUAACGGCACCCAUCUCACUGGGUUAUUCUAACGACUCAAUGAGUAAAUAUUUAUAAGGCACUUAGAACCGUGAUCGUUACAGUGUUACAGAGUGUUUAAAAAAAUCAAGCUGUCAAUGUCAACAUCCCGCGUAGUUUUAUCUAUUUGCUUAUUUUGUUUAUUUGAAAGGCAGAAAGACAGAGACAGACCGACUGACAGACAGAGGUCUUCAAUCCGCUUCCCAAAUGCCCACAACAGCUGGGGCUGCCCCAGGUGGAAGCCAGGAGCCAGGAACUCCAUCUGGGGCUCCCACGUGGGUGUCGGGAUCCCAGCUAGUUGAGCCAUCACCUGCUGCCUCCCAGGGUGCUCUUGAGCAGGAAGCUGGGAUUGACAGGAGAGGCAGGACUCGAACCCAGGACACUGCAUGUGAGCAGUCCCAAACAGCAUCUUAAGCCCUGUGCCAUACGCCCACCCCGCAGGUGUUUUUGAUCGUCCCUGCUGCGUUGCCUGUCGGAUUGAAUUCAAAGCCGAUUUAAAGGCCGUGGUCUGCUUGAUUCUAUUUAAAGCAUAGUCUGCCAUUAAGCCCAUCCCCGUCUGGUGCGCUGCGGGCGGGCUGGGUUUUCAGAGCUGUGCAGGAG